GACGAACGCUGGCGGCGUGCCUAAUACAUGCAAGUGGGACGCAAGGAAACACACUGUGCUUGCACACCGUGUUUUCUUGAGUCGCGAACGGGUGAGUAACGCGUAGGUAACCUGCCUAUUAGCGGGGGAUAACUAUUGGAAACGAUAGCUAAUACCGCAUAAUAUUAAUUAUUGCAUGAUAAUUGAUUGAAAGAUGCAAGCGCAUCACUAGUAGAUGGACCUGCGUUGUAUUAGCUAGUUGGUAAGGUAAGAGCUUACCAAGGCGACGAUACAUAGCCGACCUGAGAGGGUGAUCGGCCACACUGGGACUGAGACACGGCCCAGACUCCUACGGGAGGCAGCAGUAGGGAAUCUUCGGCAAUGGACGAAAGUCUGACCGAGCAACGCCGCGUGAGUGAAGAAGGGUUUCGGAUCGUAAAGCUCUGUUGUAAGUCAAGAACGUGUGUGAGAGUGGAAAGUUCACACAGUGACGGUAGCUGACCAGAAAGGGACGGCUAACUACGUG
rnacentral:rRNA from 1 species